rnacentral:rRNA from 1 species
AUUGAACGCUGGCGGAAUGCUUUACACAUGCAAGUCGAACGGCAGCACGGGGGCAACCCUGGUGGCGAGUGGCGAACGGGUGAGUAAUACAUCGGAACGUGCCCAGUCGUGGGGGAUAACGUAGCGAAAGCUACGCUAAUACCGCAUACGAUCUCUGGAUGAAAGCGGGGGACCGCAAGGCCUCGCGCGAUUGGAGCGGCCGAUGGCAGAUUAGGUAGUUGGUGGGGUAAAGGCUCACCAAGCCGACGAUCUGUAGCUGGUCUGAGAGGACGACCAGCCACACUGGGACUGAGACACGGCCCAGACUCCUACGGGAGGCAGCAGUGGGGAAUUUUGGACAAUGGGCGCAAGCCUGAUCCAGCCAUUCCGCGUGCAGGAUGAAGGCCCUCGGGUUGUAAACUGCUUUUGUACGGAACGAAACGCUCCGGGUUAAUACCCUGGGGUAAUGACGGUACCGUAAGAAUAAGCACCGGCUAACUACGUGCCAGCAGCCGCGGUAAUACGUAGGGUGCAAGCGUUAAUCGGAAUUACUGGGCGUAAAGCGUGCGCAGGCGGUGAUGUAAGACAGGUGUGAAAUCCCCGGGCUUAACCUGGGAACUGCAUUUGUGACUGCAUUGCUGGAGUGCGGCAGAGGGGGAUGGAAUUCCGCGUGUAGCAGUGAAAUGCGUAGAUAUGCGGAGGAACACCGAUGGCGAAGGCAAUCCCCUGGGCCUGCACUGACGCUCAUGCACGAAAGCGUGGGGAGCAAACAGGAUUAGAUACCCUGGUAGUCCACGCCCUAAACGAUGUCAACUGGUUGUUGGUCCUUCACUGGAUCAGUAACGAAGCUAACGCGUGAAGUUGACCGCCUGGGGAGUACGGCCGCAAGGUUG